rnacentral:rRNA from 1 species
UCAGACGAUGCGUCAUGCAUAUCAAUAAGCGGAGGAAAAGAAACUAACAAGGAUUCCCCUAGUAACGGCGAGUGAAGCGGGAAGAGCUCAAAUUUGAAAUCUUAAAGGGUUUCCCUUUACGAAUUGUAGUUUAAAGAAGUGUUUUCUGUUGAGGUUUUGGUAAAAGUUCUUUGGAAUAGGACAUCAUAGAGGGUGAGAAUCCCGUAUUUGACCUUUACUUUCAACUUUGUGAUACACUUUCAAAGAGUCGGAUUGUUUGGGAAUGCAGUCCAAAAUGGGUGGUAAAUUUCAUCUAAAGCUAAAUAUUGGCGAGAGACCGAUAGCGAACAAGUACCGUGAGGGAAAGAUGAAAAGAACUUUGAAAAGAGAGUUAAACAGUACGUGAAAUUGUCAAAAGGGAAGCGUUUGACACCAGUGUUGUUUUUCUGAAAAUCAAUUAAAGAACUGUUUAUGCUAAGUUGUUUAGACUUUAUCAGCUAACUGUUUAGUUUUGAGCUUUCCUUUAAUGCACUUCUCAGUUAACAAGUCAACAUCAAUUUCUUUUGCUGUAAAAAAGCUUGAGGAAGGUGGCUUGAGAUUCGUCUUAAGUGUUUAUAGCCUCUUGCCUAUGCAGUCGGAGAGAUUGAGGUCUGCAGCGUAGAUCCUUCGGGGCUAAAUGCAUUUGUGCUAAGUUAUAGCAUUUUAUAGACAACUUGUUGACGAUGAUUUGUCUUGUAGCUUACUCGCUUAUGUUAUUUUACCUACGCUUAGGAUGUUGACACACGCGCGUGCUCG